CUAUCUCUCUCUAAACCUCGAUCCAGAUUGCCGGUCAAAAUCUCCUUUCAAGUCAGGAAGGAGUGGUAGUUCAAGCACCAUCUUGCUAAGGAAGACAAUGGUGACACAAAUCCGGUUAAGAUCUUGUUCAAAAUUUAGUACCCCUUUUAUUUUUUAUUUUAAUAUUUAUUUUAUUUACUACAAUAUAUAUGCCUGCAUACCAAAAAGAAACAAAUCUAUAAAAACCAUGGGUCUUUGACAUAUGCAUUCUUAGAGGGAUUAACACAGGGUUUAAUGUUAGCCUGGAGGUGUAAAUUUUAGAAAUUGAACUUUUAUAGCUUCAACGUUAUAUAUUAGAAAUUGGACAAUGUAGUCGGAUAACAAGAAUUUUGCAGGUUGCUAAGCAAACUUCGAAGAAAACGGGGGACAGUGCACUUUACUGAAAAAAUGAACAAAUUAACAUCUUUGUUUCUAAAUGUAGCUGGAAUAGCUGUGAAAGGAGUCAAGCAAUGAAACAUCCAGUUACGAAACAAAAAUUGAUAUUGAAUAUCAAAAAGUUGUUUUUAAGUGAACAUGUUACUAAACCUUUUUCCUAUAAGUUAAAAAAUAUUUUAUUCUAAAUGUAUGAAUUACCUACCUAUCAGUAAAUAACUUGCACAUGUUUCUUCUUUGAAUUGGGGUUGUUCAAUGCACUUGCGCAUGAUUCUGUGUUUUUCAUGGAUAUUUUAUUUUGACAUUCGGCUGGUUCAAUUGCACUCUUCAUUAGAGUUGUUCGAUGGCAGAAAGGAAUAAAGGAAUUUGCCAUAAUUGCUAACAGCCAGGCCCUACUUGUUGUCGAAAUGCUCCAGAAAGAAAAGAAGCCCAAAAUGUAGCGAGAGAUUCUUGAAAUGGAUGGAGGUGGAAAAGAAUAGUGAAAACAAGGGACGGCCAUUUCAUUGCUGUAUUCGCUAUUGUUGGCAUUUCAAUAUAUGGACUUGCCAAGCAUGCUAAAAAAUUUGAUCAUAAUUGCCUAGAAAAAGGACUUGGAGAUUUCCCUCAACAUAACUAUUCGCAAGGGAAAACGAGAUUCAGAUGAUGAGGAAAAAGGAAAGACAGGUGUCAAUUAGAUAUAGCCCAGAACUUCGAUGUAAUGCGAUGAUGUUAAUGGUUUCUCUUUGUAUUUGGAUGCAAUUGCUUCUUGAGUUUAAUGUCAGUGGACUUUUAUAUGAAUGUUUCUAAAUGCCUGGCUUAUUCCUUGUGCUACGAGGUGAUCUUCAAUUUCA
rnacentral:lncRNA from 1 species